AGUAAUAAACCAUUAUUUGAUGUACGUGUUGAUCAGCUACCAGAAAUAAAAAAGAAACAGUGCCAACCGGACUCUGAACCUAUUGAUUGCAAAGCAGCUACCAAAUGUACCCAAAAGAGUGGUUAUUACAAAAUAUAUUUACCGGGAAAUAAAGAAAAACAAAUUAUGGUAUUUUGUGACAUGAAAAUUGCUGGUGGUAAUUGGAUGCACAUUUUUAGACGCAUUGAUGGUUCGGAAACGUUUAACCGUCCUUGGUCUGACUACGUACAUGGAUUUGGUAAUGUGGAGGGCGAGUAUUGGAUAGGAUUGAAGAAUUUAAAUGCACUCACUAACAACAAUGGUCGGCAGAAGUUAUAUGUUCAUUUAGAGAAUCCUACAAAUAAUCCUACUUAUGCUUCGUAUAAUAACUUUUUAGUAGGAAAUGCCACGGAAAUAUAUAAAUUAAAAUCUUUAGGCACAUAUGAAGGCCCAGCAGCAGAUGGUUUGUCGUAUUAUAUGGGUCAAAAAUUUUCCACCUACGAUUAUGAUAAUGACGGAUCGAGCUCUGCAAAUUGUGCCACGCAUAAUAUGGGCGGAUGGUGGUAUAAUAAUUGUGCAUAUGCACUUCCUACUGGUAAAUAUGGACCAUCCGGUAUAAGGUGGGAUAGUAGGGAUUCAAAUAUAUAUAAUUAUAAAAUCAUUAAUUUUAUGAUACGUAGUUUUAAAUAGUUUAUAUAUGUUUAAACAAAAUGUAUCGAUAUUAUUUAGACAAAAAAUAAAAAUUAUUUUAUUUCGAUUUUACAUUAAA